GACGUAGGGGGCCAGCGUUAUUCGGAAUUACUGGGUGUAAAGGGUUCGUAGGCGGUGCGGCAAGUUGGGAGUGAAAUCUCUGGGCUUAACCCAGAGGCUGCUUCCAAAACUGCUGUGCUUGAGUGUGGGAGAGGCGCGUGGAAUUGCAGGUGUAGCGGUGAAAUGCGUAGAUAUCUGCAGGAACACCCGUGGCGAAAGCGGCGCGCUGGACCACUACUGACGCUGAGGAACGAAAGCUAGGGGAGCAAACAGG
rnacentral:rRNA from 1 species